AUAUUUAUCCUAAGUCCCAUUUUGCCCUCUUAUAUACUUGGUGGUCAUUAUUUCUAUUUGCUUUCAUCCGCUGCGUCUCUCCAGAAAAAACCUGGUUUCAUCCAGAUCGUUCCAAUCUCCCUUCUCCCAGUUCCUUCCCGCUCGAUUCUCUCUGGCUUCUCUCUCUAAAAUACCCACUCACCGCUGCCUUCUCUCUGAUGUUUCAAUUUUCCGGCGACGACUUCUACGAUUCUGGCAACGGCCGACCUCGACGUUGGUCUCAACCGAAUUAUCCCCAAUCCCCGAUCUCCUCAGACUGAGGAGGAGGAAUGGAGGCUAUGGGACCUCCAAUUUGUUUUGAUGUGCUGUUUGCUUCACAAACCUCUACGCUUUGCUUCGACACAGAGUAGAUAGUUAUUGGGUUUCUGUGAAAGAUUGAGUUAUAAAUGGAGAGUUGAGGUCAAAAGUGUAUUUAUCUUGAUGAUGAAUUGCCGACAGAUAAGCAGCUGUGUAGAGAUCAUUGGAGUUUAGAGCGAGUUCAUCCAACUCUUCAGCUCAAACCAGUAGUAAUCUGUGAACUCCGCACCAGAAACCAAUGACUGUGAUAUGGACACUUGGACACCUAUAUGUUAGUUACUGUAAAUCGAUUUUCACAUGAAUGUAAAUAGUUUUUCAUACUGUAGGUAUUUAGAACUUUCUGCAUGUUUAUACGGUUUUAAAACCCGUAGCAUUGCUCGGGCACAGUUGCUAGUUAAAA